GGCGGUUUGAUCAUGGCUCAGAACGAACGCUGGCGGCAUGCCUAACACAUGCAAGUCGAACGCCCCGCAAGGGGAGUGGCGCACGGGUGAGUAACGCGUGGGAACCUGCCCUGGAGUGGGGGAUAACCCGGCGAAAGCCGGGCUAAUACCGCAUACGCCCUGAGGGGGAAAGAUUUAUCGCUCUAGGAGGGGCCCGCGUCGGAUUAGCUAGUUGGUGAGGUAACGGCUCACCAAGGCGAUGAUCCGUAGCUGGUCUGAGAGGAUGAUCAGCCACACUGGGACUGAGACACGGCCCAGACUCCUACGGGAGGCAGCAGUGGGGAAUAUUGGACAAUGGGGGCAACCCUGAUCCAGCAAUGCCGCGUGAGUGAUGAAGGCCUUAGGGUUGUAAAGCUCUUUCGCCCGCGACGAUGAUGACGGUAGCGGGAGAAGAAGCCCCGGCUAACUUCGUGCCAGCAGCCGCGGUAAUAACCUAAAUAGC
rnacentral:rRNA from 1 species